CCCGCACAAGCGGUGGAGCAUGUGGUUUAAUCGAAGCAACGCGAAGAACCUUACCAGGCCUUGACAUGCAGAGAACUUUCCAGAGAUGGAUUGGUGCCUCGGGAACUCUGACACAGGUGCUGCAUGGCUGUCGUCAGCUCGUGUCGUGAGAUGUUGGGUUAAGUCCCGCAACGAGCGCAACCCUCGUGUUUAGUUGCAAACAGGUCAAGCUGUGCACUCUAGACAGACUGCCGUGGACAACACGGAGGAAGGUGGGGAUGACGUCAAAUCAGCACGGCCCUUACGUCCAGGGCUACACACGUGCUACAAUGGCCGAUACAGAGGGCAGCUACCUGGUGACAGGAUGCAAAUCUCCAAAGUCGGUCUCAGUUCGGAUCGGAGUCUGCAACCCGACUCCGUGAAGUUGGAUUCGCUAGUAAUCGCGCAUCAGCCAUGGCGCGGUGAAUACGUUCUCGGGCCUU
rnacentral:rRNA from 1 species